rnacentral:rRNA from 1 species
AGGACGAACGCUGGCGGCGUGCUUAACACAUGCAAGUCGAGGGCGGUAGCAAUACCGACCGGCGAACGGGUGCGUAACACGUGAGCAACCUGCCAAGGUGAGGGGGAUAGCCGGCCCAACGGCCGGGUAAUACCGCAUACGCUCUAUCCACGGCAUUGUGGACUGAGGAAACCUCCGGGGCACUUUGAGGGGCUCGCGGCCUAUCAGCUAGUUGGCGGGGUAAUGGCCCACCAAGGCAGCGACGGCUACGGGGUCUGAGAAGACGACCCCGCACAUUGGAACUGAGACACGGUCCAGACUCCUACGGGAGGCAGCAGUGGGGAAUAUUGGGCAAUGGGCGCAAGGCCUGACCCAGCGACGCGCGUGCGGGAUGACGCUUCUCGGAGUGUAAACCGCUGUCAGAGGGACGAACGGCCCGUGGAGAAUAUGCCAGUGGAUUGACGGUACCUCGAAAGGAAGCGCGGACUAACUCCGCGCCAGCAGCCGC